rnacentral:rRNA from 1 species
UUGAACGCUGGCGGCAGGCCUAACACAUGCAAGUCGAGCGGCAGCACGGGUACUUGUACCUGGUGGCGAGCGGCGGACGGGUGAGUAAUGCCUAGGAAUCUGCCUAGUAGUGGGGGAUAACGUCCGGAAACGGGCGCUAAUACCGCAUACGUCCUACGGGAGAAAGUGGGGGAUCUUCGGACCUCACGCUAUUAGAUGAGCCUAGGUCGGAUUAGCUAGUUGGUGAGGUAAUGGCUCACCAAGGCGACGAUCCGUAACUGGUCUGAGAGGAUGAUCAGUCACACUGGAACUGAGACACGGUCCAGACUCCUACGGGAGGCAGCAGUGGGGAAUAUUGGACAAUGGGCGAAAGCCUGAUCCAGCCAUGCCGCGUGUGUGAAGAAGGUCUUCGGAUUGUAAAGCACUUUAAGUUGGGAGGAAGGGCAGUUACCUAAUACGUGAUUGUUUUGACGUUACCGACAGAAUAAGCACCGGCUAACUCUGUGCCAGCAGCCGCGGUAAUACAGAGGGUGCAAGCGUUAAUCGGAAUUACUGGGCGUAAAGCGCGCGUAGGUGGUUUGUUAAGUUGGAUGUGAAAGCCCCGGGCUCAACCUGGGAACUGCAUCCAAAACUGGCAAGCUAGAGUAUGGUAGAGGGUGGUGGAAUUUCCUGUGUAGCGGUGAAAUGCGUAGAUAUAGGAAGGAACACCAGUGGCGAAGGCGACCACCUGGACUGAUACUGACACUGAGGUGCGAAAGCGUGGGGAGCAAACAGGAUUAGAUACCCUGGUAGUCCACGCCGUAAACGAUGUCAACUAGCCGUUGGGAGCCUUGAGCUCUUAGUGGCGCAGCUAACGCAUUAAGUUGACCGCCUGGGGAGUACGGCCGCAAGGUUAAAACUCAAAUGAAUUGACGGGGGCCCGCACAAGCGGUGGAGCAUGUGGUUUAAUU